GUGGAGCGUGAAGAGCUAAUCGCCUUUAUGCCUGUAUAUUCGUGUACUUGGGGUGUACUUAUUCGUGUGGUAAGUUAACAUCAAUUUUGGUUGUCAUAAAAUGAUUGGAGGAAUGUAGCUUCGAUCUCGUAUUGAAGUGUUAUAGCCUUUGGUAGAUGUGACGAUCGGGAUUGAGGAUUGCAACGGAUACCCUUCGGGGCUACCUGUCUGAUCUCUGAUUGUUGCUCUGGUGCUGAAAGCUUGCUUAUGGUUAUCAAAGUCGAUGGUCAAUAGGUUAGAAUGGGUUAAA
rnacentral:rRNA from 1 species